UCUGAAGUGGUUGUGUGUCAUGGUGUCUCUGAAGUGGUUGUGUGUCAUGGUGUCUCUGAAGUGGUUGUGUGUCAUGGGUCUUUCUGAAGUGGUUGUGUGUCAUGGGUCUUUCUGAAGUGGUUGUGUGUCAUGGGUCUCUCUGAAGUGGUUGUGUGUCAUGGGUCUCUCUGAAGUGGUUGUGUGUCAUGGGUCUCUCUGAAGUGGUUAGGUGUCAUGGUCUCUCUGAAGUGGUUAGGUGUCAUGGUCUCUCUGAAGUGGUUAGGUGUCAUGGGUCUCUCUGAAGUGGUUGCGUGUCAUGGGUCUCUCUGAAGUGGUUGGGUGUCAUGGUCUCUCUGAAGUGGUUGCGUGUCAUGGGUCUCUCUGAAGUGGUUAGGUGUCAUGGUCUCUCUGAAGUGGUUAGGUGUCAUGGUCUCUCUGAAGUGGUUAGGUGUCAUGGUCUCUCUGAAGUGGUUAGGUGUCAUGGUCUCUCUGAAGUGGUUAGGUGUCAUGGUCUCUCUGAAGUGGUUGCGUGUCAUGGGUCUCUCUGAAGUGGUUGCGUGUCAUGGUCUCUCUGAAGUGGUUGCGUGUCAUGGGUCUCUCUGAAGUGGUUAGGUGUCAUGGGUCUCUCUGAAGUGGUUAGGUGUCAUGGGUCUCUCUGAAGUGGUUAGGUGUCAUGGGUCUCUCUGAAGUGGUUAGGUGUCAUGGGUCUCUCUGAAGUGGUUAGGUGUCAUGGGUCUCUCUGAAGUGGUUAGGUGUCAUGGGUCUCUCUGAAGUGGUUGCGUGUCAUGGUCUCUCUGAAGUGGUUGCGUGUCAUGGUCUCUCUGAAG